rnacentral:tmRNA from 1 species
GGGGGUGAAUGGUCUCGACUGCGGUCGUUUGGCCAGGGGAAGCGAGCCGAGGAAGGCAACGAUGAGCUCGUUAACCACGCGUUGCAAACAACACAAGCGCCGACUCCAGUCAGCGCGAGUUCGAACUCGCUGCCUAAGUAGCUAGUUCGACUCUGUCAGCCCGGGUUCGUCACCGGCCCGGAUCCUGGCAUCAGCUAGGUGACUGACCCUCCGCACCGGUCGCGGGUGCUGGAGGGGACAUCAAACAGCGACUGGGCCCGUCACACCGGCUAGUCCGUGCGAUCGGUGGGGCCGAGCAGAGACACAGCGGACUGCGCUCGGAGAAGCCCUGGACUGGCGUCGUAGGACGCGGGUUCGAUUCCCGCCACCUCCACCC